GACGAACGCUGGCGGCGUGCCUAACACAUGCAAGUCGAACGGAAAGGCCCUGCUUUUGUGGGGUGCUCGAGUGGCGAACGGGUGAGUAACACGUGAGUAACCUGCCCUUGACUUUGGGAUAACUUCAGGAAACUGGGGCUAAUACCGGAUAGGAGCUCCUGCUGCAUGGUGGGGGUUGGAAAGUUUCGGCGGUUGGGGAUGGACUCGCGGCUUAUCAGCUUGUUGGUGGGGUAGUGGCUUACCAAGGCUUUGACGGGUAGCCGGCCUGAGAGGGUGACCGGCCACAUUGGGACUGAGAUACGGCCCAGACUCCUACGGGAGGCAGCAGUGGGGAAUAUUGCACAAUGGGCGGAAGCCUGAUGCAGCAGCGCCGCGUGCGGGAUGACGGCCUUCGGGUUGUAAACCGCUUUCGCCGUUGACGAGGCGUGAGUGACGGUAAUGGGUAAAGAAGCACCGGCUAACUACGUG
rnacentral:rRNA from 1 species